AUAUGAAGGGAUUUAAUGUUUGUGAAAAUGAAGUGAGACAAAUAAAUUACACAUUGAGAUACAGCCCAAGUUGCUAAAUGUUUAAAGGUUGAGGCUUGUAAUUUUAUUUUCUUCCAUUUCAUAAUAGUGUAGUGACACAUCACAAUACAUCUCUACACUGUGACUUGAUUUCUCCCGAAUCUGUGUCUGAUGCUGGGAACACUGAUGUUCUGGCUGAAUCCAUGACACUUGCACACUUGUGCUCAGUUUGCCUCAUGACUGGGGUCACUCCAGCCAAGGCUGCAAACUAGGACAGAGUUUGAAACUGGUGCUCCCCUGCGAGACCUUUACUUCACAUAUUACAGAACCAGGACCACUAGGCCAGCUGGUCUAUAAAGAGCGCCUAAAAUGGCAACCUAUUAAUCUCAGAUUUUUUUUUAGAUGGAGUCUCACUGUGUUGCCCAGGCUAGAGUGCAGUGGUGCGAUCUCAGCUCACUGCAGCCUCAGCCUCCUGAGUAGCUGGAAUUGUAGAUGUGUGCCAUCACGCCCAGCUAAUUUUUGCAUUUUUAGUAGAGAUGGGGUUUCACUAUAAUCUCACCAUCUGAAAUUAUGGCCAGACUGGUCUUGAACUCCUGACUUCAGGUGAUCCACCUGCCUCAGCCUCCCAAAAUGUUGGGAUUACCAGCGUGAGCUACCGUGCCUGACCAUAAUCUCAGAUAUUUUCUAAACCAGUAUUUUGCCACCAGUAAAUGCUGAUUAUUAAAAAUACACUCAAAGGCCUUUUUGUCCUAUGACUGAUGCUGCUGAAAAUUUGAUGUAACCAUCUUGGCAAUUUGUGGUAAUCUCAUUUCUACAAAUGUGUGGAGGAGAUGCACGAGACCCGAGUAAAUAAUAUUGUUUUCAGUUGCUUUUUUCUGUUAUCACUAUAGACAUAACCGUGGAAUCAUCGAAUGACAGGCACAGUAACCAGGAAGACAUAGAUUGAUUGGGUGGGGUCACCUUCAUAGUCACCUUGGCUAACUUUCCAAUUAUGUACACAUUGUAUCUUGGGAGGACAACAAGGAUGAAAGAAACCCAAGUUUUAGCAUAGAAUACUUGAGCAGCUGGAAGUGGUUACCAGACAGACAUGCCCUAUGUUCUUAAUGCCACUGGAGCACUCACCACGUCAGGUGUGACACGAGAGGUGGGGCAGUCUCUAAGUGGAAGUGGGGCUCAUAUGAAUGAGUAGGGCAAGUCUGGGAGACAGAAAAGGGGAAAGGUCAUUUUGGGCAGUGGAAAGAAAUAAAUCAAGUGCAAAGACACAGAGGUGCAGGAGACUGACAUCAGAUUUAGUGUUGGAGUCUGGAGUCUGAGGGAGGAAUCUAUAAUAACUGGUAGGUUCUAUGGAUGCUGAACCAGAAUGCAGAGGCGGGAAGCAGGGGAGAUUGGCUAGGAGUCUUCUGCAACAGUCCAGGCUCAUGAUGACAGGACUUGCACCUGUGAGAGAGCACAGGCCACAGAGGGCACGGGGUGCUGUCGAAAAACUCUUCUGAGGUACAACAAGUAGACGGCAGUGCCUGAUACUACUUG
rnacentral:lncRNA from 1 species